rnacentral:rRNA from 1 species
UACGUAGGGGGCAAGCGUUGUCCGGAUUUAUUGGGCGUAAAGAGCGUGUGAGCGGCCAGAUAGGUCCGUUGUGAAAACUGGAGGCUUAACCUCCAGCUGUCGAUGGAAACCAUCUGGCUAGAGUCCGGAAGAGGAGAGUGGAAUUCUUGGUGUAGCGGUGAAAUGCGCAGAUAUCAGGAAGAACACCCGUGGCGAAGGCGGCUCUCUGGGACGGUACUGACGCUGAGACGCGAAAGCGUGGGGAGCGAACAGG